AACAAACGCUGGCGGCGUGUCUUAAGCAUGCAAGUUGAGCGGCAAGGAGGAGAGAUCCUCCCUAGAGCGGCGGACUGGUGAGUAACGCGUGGGUAAUCUAUCGUUAGGCAUGGGGAUAGUCACUAGAAAUAGUGGGUAAUACCGAAUAAGUUCCAUAAGGGGAGGACUUAUGGAAGAAAGGUGCUACGGCACUGGCCUUAGGUGAGCUCGCGUCCCAUUAGCUAGUUGGUGAGGUAAAGGCCCACCAAGGCGAUGAUGGGUAGCCGGCCUGAGAGGGUGUACGGCCACACUGGGACUGAGAUACGGCCCAGACUCCUACGGGAGGCAGCAGCUAAGAAUAUUCCGCAAUGGACGGAAGUCUGACGGAGCGACGCCGCGUGGAUGAAGAAGGCCGAAAGGUUGUAAAGUUCUUUUGCUAGGGGAGAAUAAGUGUGGGAGGGAAUGCCUGCACGAUGACAAGGACUAGCGAAUAAGUCCCGGCCAACUACGUG
rnacentral:rRNA from 1 species